UUUAUUUCUCAGCUAAGUGCACAGGUAACCCCUCACAGCUUACUGAGAUCAAUGACUAUGUAAACCUUCCAGAUAUUAAGUGGAGUCAAUUGCUGGAUCAAACAAGUUACAAAACAUUCAAGGCUGAAGAUACAAAAGACAUGUUUGGGUACAUAGCAUAACAUACAAGCUAUAUGAUCACCAUUAUUUCUGUAAGGGCUCUCACCAGCUGGCCAACAUUA
rnacentral:lncRNA from 1 species